rnacentral:rRNA from 1 species
AGCGGCGGACGGGUGAGUAACACGUGGGUAACCUGCCCAAGAGACUGGGAUAACACCUGGAAACAGAUGCUAAUACCGGAUAACAACACUAGACGCAUGUCUAGAGUUUGAAAGAUGGUUCUGCUAUCACUCUUGGAUGGACCUGCGGUGCAUUAGCUAGUUGGUAAGGUAACGGCUUACCAAGGCAAUGAUGCAUAGCCGAGUUGAGAGACUGAUCGGCCACAUUGGGACUGAGACACGGCCCAAACUCCUACGGGAGGCAGCAGUAGGGAAUCUUCCACAAUGGACGAAAGUCUGAUGGAGCAACGCCGCGUGAGUGAAGAAGGGUUUCGGCUCGUAAAGCUCUGUUGGUAGUGAAGAAAGAUAGAGGUAGUAACUGGCCUUUAUUUGACGGUAAUUACUUAGAAAGUCACGGCUAACUACGUGCCAGCAGCCGCGGUAAUACGUAGGUGGCAAGCGUUGUCCGGAUUUAUUGGGCGUAAAGCGAGUGCAGGCGGUUCAAUAAGUCUGAUGUGAAAGCCUUCGGCUCAACCGGAGAAUUGCAUCAGAAACUGUUGAACUUGAGUGCAGAAGAGGAGAGUGGAACUCCAUGUGUAGCGGUGGAAUGCGUAGAUAUAUGGAAGAACACCAGUGGCGAAAGCGGCUCUCUGGUCUGCAACUGACGCUGAGGCUCGAAAGCAUGGGUAGCGAACAGGAUUAGAUACCCUGGUAGUCCAUGCCGUAAACGAUGAGUGCUAAGUGU